ACGGAAGGUGCAAGCGUUAGUCGGAAUUACUGGGCGUAAAGGGUGCGUAGGCGGUGAUAUAAGUCAGUCGUGAAAUUCCGGGGCUCAACCUCGGAGCUGCGAAUGAUACUGUAUUACUUGAGGAAUGGCGGAGAAAAUGGAAUUCCAUAUGUAGCGGUGAAAUGCGUAGAUAUAUGGAAGAACACCUGUGGCGAAAGCGGUUUUCUAGCCUUCUCCUGACGCUGAGGCACGAAAGCAAGGGGAGCAAACAG
rnacentral:rRNA from 1 species